UUCAAAAUUCGACAACUACUUUGGGCUUUUCUUCUGGGUUUGCUGCUUCUACUUCUCAGUCAGAGCUGCCCGUUUCUACGGCGUCAACUUCUGAAUCUCAUCCCCCUGAUGAAAACGGCAUAGGUGACUGGCCGGAGGCAGUCACGGGCCCUCUAUGAAGCUACUAUCCUGGUACUGUCAAAGAUUUGGGCCUUCUUUGACAUGUCUACUCCGUCAUCUGUAUCAUAAUCAUCAGCCUACUGUGCUUUUCUUUUUGCCAUCUGAAGUUCAGGAAAGCACUUGCUCUGUUUGGAAGUCUGAUCACAAGCUUAAUGACCUUUUUGUUGUAAAUCACUUGCUCAUUGGUUUAGUUCUAGCUUGGAAUACUUCUUUUGUUCAGCUCUCGAUGUUGGAUAGUGUUGUUACCUAUGUACAUACUAGUGAGUUUUUUGUGCUUCUUUGUUUGCAAUGUAUUAUCACUUGGGUUUUUGGUUAUCCCCAUGUUUGUGAUAACACUUUGUUCUCGAUGCCUGAUGCUCUUCACUUCCUUGGUUAUGUCUAGCUGUUUUUCAUAAAGUGAAUUGGCUAGUUGUGAUUCGGGGAGGUCAUCCUCCAGCUGUGUGGAGAAGUUGUCUCUUUAUUAGUUUGAUCACAAAUGCUCUUUUGCUGGAUAUCACCCAACAGGGUCCUGCAUUUUCUCCAUUCUCCUACCAUAAUGGUCAGUUAAUCAUGGAAAGGAACAUGGUUGCUCUAUUUGGUGUCUCUGUGAUGCAUUUGGUUGUUUGGGGUGCUAUGGAUAGUGAAAAGGGCUGUGGUGGCGGGCCUAUUACCGCCACAAGGCCGCUAUGAGGAUCAUCUCUUGGAAUUGUCAAGGUUUGGGUCCAAACCUUGACUGAAAGUACUCUAAGACAUCUUAAGAGUACACUGGAUCCUAGUUUGGUUUUUCUUAUGGAAACAAAAAAUAAAGCAUUCACAGUUGAUAAUGUCAGGCAGAAAUUGGGUUUUUCUAAUGGCUUCAGGGUGGAUCCAGAAGGGCUUCUUGGCUUAUCUGGAGGGUUAGCUGUUUGGUGGACUGAUAAAUUGGUAGUGGAUGUUCUUGAUAGUGCUAAGAAUUUUAUCGAUACAAGAAUUACUGAUACAGAGGCUAACCUUGUUAGUCGUGUUACCUUUAUCUACGGUCCUCCGCAAGAUGGGAAGAAAGCUUUCUGGAAUAAGUUAUGCUCUAUUGCUCGUUUAAUAUUUGAGCCUUUGUAUUGGGGAUUUUAAUGAGCUUUUAAGCAAUGAUGAGGUUCUAGGGGGGGCUCCUAGAAGUGAGGCAAGAAUGAAGAUGUUCAGGGACUUUAUUUUCAAGGCAAGGCUUCUUGAUCUGGGAUUUCAAGGGUCUGCUUUCACAUGGUUCAGGAAAAAGAUAGAUGGCUCCUUAUUGCAAGAACGAUUGGAUAGAGCUUUGGUUAAUGGUACAUGGUGUGAUACUUGGCCUCAGACUGAAAUUUUCAAUUAUCCCAAUGUGGGUUCUGAUCACUCGCCAGUUCUUGUGUCUUGCUCUCCUAUGGAUUCUAAAGCUCCUAAACUUUUCAAAUUUGAGGAACGUUGGAAACGUGAUCCUAAGUGUUUUGAAGUGGUGAAUCAAAAUUGGAAGCAAACUGUUAGUGGCAGCUCUCAAUUUCAAUGGAAAAAGAAACUUAGUUACUGUAAGGUGGGUUUGAAGAGCUGGAGCAGCAAGUGUUUUGGGAAUUCUAAGAAAAAAAUUGAUUCUCUAAUGGGGGAGCUGAAUCAUCUUUCUAGUCAUGGUUCUUAUGAAGUGCAUAAAGAGAGGAUGGAGGCAAUAGUUCUGAAUCUUGAUGAGCUUUGGACACGGGAAGAAUCGUUUUGGCAUCAAAAAUCCAGAGUGAAUUGGCUUCGAACUGGUGAUAAAAUACUCGUUUUUUCCAUCUGAGUACAGUCCAAAGGAGGCAUAGGAAUAAAAUAUGACUGGUUAAAGCAACGAAUGGUAGCUGGUUGGAAGGUGACAAAGCUGUGAAUGACGGUUUCACCAAGUACUUGAAGGAGUUAUUUUCAUCGGAGGGUGAACGAAACUGGGAUGAAGCACUAAAUUCCAUUAGUCCAGUUGUGUCAUCUGAAAUGAAUGACAAUCUUUUGAGGCAAGUUACGAUUGACGAGGUCAGGGAUGCAGUUUUUCAAAUUGGUCCUCUGAAGGCACCUGGCCCGGAUGGGUUGCUUUCUCUCCUUCACGGGGCUUGAGGCUGGGGGAUCCUUUGUCCCCGUACUUAUUCAUUUUGGUCAGCGAAGUUUUAACUGCAAUGAUUAAUAGGGCAUGCUUGAAUCACUCCCUAAUUGGUGUUCAAAUGGGUGCAGAGGGUCCCUGGAUUUCACAUCUUUUGUUUGCUGAUGAUUCCCUAUUCUUUUUGAAGGCUUCUAUAGAAAACUGUCAAUCAAUGAUGAGCAUUCUGACUAACUACUGUACAGCAUCAGGCCAGCGAGUCAAUAUCAGCAAAUCAACCUUGUUUUUUAGUCUCAAUUCACCUCUACAGCUCCAAUUGAAUAUCAGUGAUAUUUUGGGUGUUCGUGGAUCCGAUGACCCUGGCAAGUAUCUUGGACUCCCUACUUUAUGGGGAAGAUCCAAAAAGCAAGCUUUGGCUUUUGUGAAAGAUAGAAUCUCAAAAAAAAUUCAAGGUUGGAAACAGUUGAAUCUCACCCAGGCUGGGAAAGAAAUUCUUGUGAAAUCUGUCAUUUCUGCUAUCCCUGCUCUAUGGCAGUAUUUCUAUUCACUGAUGGGCUGUGUAAGGAGAUUGCGAACUUUUGGUGGGGACAGACUGAUAUGGGGGGUAAGGUGCAUUGGUUGAGUUGGGAAAAGCUUGGAUUGCCCAAGGAGGAGGGAGGUUUGGGUUUCAGGUGUCUGAGAGAUUUCAAUCUAGCCCUCCUUGCCAAAGUAGGGUGGAGAAUUAUUCAACAACCUGAGGCUUUAUGGGUUCAAGUGCUCAAGGGAUUAUAUUUUCCUCAUUGUGAUUUCUUGUCAGCUUCUAAAGGGUCUAGAGCUUCGUGGGCUUGGAGUAGCAUUCUGGAGGGAAGAAAUUUAUUAAGUGAUCAUGCUUUGUGGCAGGUACUCAAUGGGGAGUCCAUUAGUACUUGGAAAGAUAAAUGGAUUCCAGGGAUUUUAGGUGGGAGACUGAGUGCUUCUCAUCUGUACGCUUCUGAGUUUGAUCCUUUUCAGAGGGUUGCAGACUUGGUUGAUUGGUCUUCGACCUCUUGGAAUCUGGAUCCCAUUGCUCAGCAUUUGACAGCUGCUGAGGUUGUUGCUAUUGAGUCCAUCCCAUUGUCCUCUACUUGGGAACCUGAUAAGUUAGUCUGGCCUUAUGAGAAAUGUGGUUCUUAUUCAGUCAGGUCCGGGUAUCAUGUGCAGCAUGGAGGGAGAAGUAAGGCAUCUUUGCAAUCAGCUCACUCUUCACAUAUUGUUAAUCCUACUGUUUGGAAACAAUUGUGGAACGUCUCUUCUAUCCCUAAAGUCAAGCAUUUUCUUUGGAGGGCUUGUACUAAUGCACUUCCAACUAUGGCUAAUCUUUUUGUUAAAAAAGUGACCCCCUCUCCUCUUUGUCCAUUUUGUUCGGAUCAUAUGGAGACUAUUGAGCAUUUGUUACUUCAAUGUCCAUGGACCAUAGGAGUGUGGUUUGGUUUGCCUGUUAAUUACAUAGUGGAUUUGGCAGCUAUUACUACUUUUGAUGCUUGGUUUUCUGGUGUUUGUGAGAUGAUGAAGGUUGUUCAUAAAAGCAAAAUGGUUCUCUCUUGUUGGAUUUCCUUUGCUCUUUGGAUCAUCUGGAAGGAAAGGUGUGCAGCUGUUUAUGAUCAUAGAGAGCCUAGUCCUUGGGGGGUAAUUGCUCAAAUCAAAGCUGCUGUUUCAGAAUAUAGUGGUCUGAUUGUUUCUGGUUCAUCAAUCCGUAGUUCUUCUGUCGAGAGUGUGAAGUGGUUUGCUCCUUUGUUUCCUACUGUAAAGCUGAAUUGUGAUGGGGCUUGGAGUUCAGUAACCAAAAGAGCUGGGAUUGGAUGUAUUAUCAGAGAUUUUACUGGUACAAUUAUUAAUGGGAGAGUUAAAACCUGCUUGGCAAACUCUGCUUUGCAUGCUGAAGCUAUUGCUGUCUUAGAGGGAUUGAUUUCAGCUAGAAAUCUGGAUUUCCCCUCGGUAAGUGUUGAAAUGGAUUCUGAUCAAUUGUUUUCUGCAAUUGUUUCGAAGCCUUACACAAAUUUAUGGCACAUCUAUCCUCUUUUGAGAGACAUUAGGAAGAUUAAGCUUGAGAAGCCUCUGUGGAUUUGGAGUUUGGUCAAGCGAAAGUGUAACGCUGUGGCGGAUUGGCUUGCAACGCGAGCUAAAAUUGGGGGUGGAUUUGGGGGAUUGGAUCAAUCAACCUCCACUUUCAUUGAUGCAGUAUGCAGAAUUCACCUACAGAAACCAAGCAUAGAAAGACCAGUGACACCAUUGUCAGAUCUCAGACCGGGUUGUCGGAUGAGUAGUGGGAAGUCAAGACCCAGAACUUUAGCGAGACCUCAUGGCUACUGAAAAGAAUGCUAGACCCCACAAAGGCAAUUCACCUGACUUGGUCUUGGGGGAGCAGUCCCAUGUUCGAGUUUGGCGUCAAAGAAAGAUAAGGAAUUGAGCAUGAAGUGAAUUUGUGACCGUGUUUGAGCGAAGAGGAUGCAAAGCAGUUCUUUUCUAUGGUGUUUGGGGCUCAAUUUCAAAGGGCAUUCUUGCACAGUGGAGGGGAUAAGGUGUAUAUGAUAGAUGUGGCCUGGUUCUGCUUUUAAUGUAACACUCAAUUUUUGACAAAGAUUUGAAGUGAAUUGACUUCAUAUACUAUGGAACCAUUGUCAGUUGGAGGAGGGGUAACUUGCACCAUGGCACCUCCCAGUGCUUCAACUAAUCCCAGUGACCUAGGAAGAAUAAAUGAGUUGAACCAAAUGACACAGGUGCCUGUUGUCCACAUGACAUACGGCCAGUAUCGAUAUUGCCCUUAUGCGUGAGGACCUUUCAUAGCAAGUCCGAUUCCAUAGGGCCAAUAUCAAUGGUCACCACCAUCAACCAAAGACGCAGCGAAGCUUGGCAUGACAUCAUCAAUAGAGAGGAAAAGAGUAGGGAUAGCACGUCGCUCUUGCUUGGGGUUUGCUAGGGGUUCACUUAUGAUUUCAGCAACAGAAUGGCUAUGUCAGGGUUAAUUUGCUAGAAAUAUUUCAAUCCAUUUGUA